rnacentral:lncRNA from 1 species
AUAUAAUUGAGGUCAAACUGAAUUCAAGAAAGUACAACAACUCACUGUCCAUUUGACAGUGAGGUAAUGCUGCUGUGGCUGUCUCUGCCUCCUCUCAUUCCCCCUCUUUCCAUUCUUUUCCUGUCUUUUAACUAAUGCCACAACCUUUCUAUUUCAGUGUGAUUCUGGCCUCAGCAAAAUGUAUCCCUAAAAUACUGAAAUAUUAUUGGAUUUUAAUGACUAAGACAGAAAUUGAAUGAUUUAACAACAUCCUCUGUUUUCUUAGAUUUUUUUUCUUCUCGAAAUAUAGAUUAAAUUGCAUGAAUAACAGUAACGUUCUCAUUUUCAUUUUUUUCUUUUUUUUCUUUCUUUCCUUUCCUUUUCUUCUUUGUUUUUUUUCUUGGGGGUGGGGUUUCAGGGAAAGAAUGAGGAUUCUUCAAAUCCAUGUCAAGGUAUAUUUGUUAGGUUUUGAGCAAUACCUUUCUUGCUUGCUUGCUUGCUUAAUUCCAGAUGCCCCCUAACAUGUCCAUUUCUACAAACACUUCAGUUCCUAAUUUGUUAAAGAUAGACUAAAUGAGACACUCAUGUUGAAGAUUUUUAAAGACUAUUUCUUUUACCAAGGAACCUGUUGGACCCAAAUUUGGGUAAAGAAGCAUCUUUAGCAAAUGCAAAGUUGUUCAGGGUUUCAGGGUGGGAAGACAUUGUACAAGUGCAAUAAGAUGAACUGUAACC